rnacentral:rRNA from 1 species
CCUACGGGUGGCAGCAGUAGGGAAUAUUGCUCAAUGGGGGAAACCCUGAAGCAGCAACGCCGCGUGGAGGAUGAAGGUUUUCGGAUUGUAAACUCUCUUUGUUAGAGAAGAUAAUGACGGUAUCUAACCUAUAAGCACCGGCUAACUCCGUGCCGGCAGCCGCGGUAAUACGCCGGCUGCCAGCGUUACACGGAAUCACUGGGCGUAAAGAGGGCGUAGGCGGGAUAGCAAGUCAGAUGUGAAAUCCUAUGGCUUAACCAUAGAACUGCAGUUGAAACUGUUAUUCUAGAGUAUGGGAGAGGUAGGUGGAAUUCUUGGUGUAGGGGUGAAAUCCGUAGAGAUCAAGAGGAAUACUCAUUGCGAAGGCGACCUGCUAGAACAUAACUGACGCUGAUGCGCGAAAGCGUGGGGAGCAAACAGGAUUAGAUACCCGAGUAGUC